GAUGAACGCUGGCGGCGUGCCUAAUACAUGCAAGUCGAGCGAACAGACGAGGAGCUUGCUCCUCUGACGUUAGCGGCGGACGGGUGAGUAACACGUGGAUAACCUACCUAUAAGACUGGGAGAACUUCGGGAAACCGGUGCUAAUACCGCAUAAUAUAUUGAACCGCAUGGUUCAAUAGUGAAAGACGGUUUUGCUGUCACUUAUAGAUGGAUCCGCGCCGCAUUAGCUAGUUGGUAAGGUAACGGCUUACCAAGGCGACGAUGCGUAGCCGACCUGAGAGGGUGAUCGGCCACACUGGAACUGAGACACGGUCCAGACUCCUACGGGAGGCAGCAGUAGGGAAUCUUCCGCAAUGGGCGAAAGCCUGACGGAGCAACGCCGCGUGGGUGAUGAAGGUCUUCGGAUCGUAAAACUCUGUUAUUGGGGAAGAACAAAUGUGUAAGUAACUAUGCACGUCUUGACGGUACCUAAUCAGAAAGCCACGGCUAACUACGUG
rnacentral:rRNA from 1 species